UUCGAGAAAUUUGGGACUGUUGAUUUAACUUUUUUAAAAAGUUUUUUUGAUGGAAACCAAUUUAAUCGCAGUGGCUUGAACCGGGCAAAAGUCGUAACAAGGUAGCUGUAGGUGAACCUGCUGCUGGAUCAUUAC
rnacentral:rRNA from 1 species